CCUACGGGAGGCAGCAGUGGGGAAUUUUGGACAAUGGGCGCAAGCCUGAUCCAGCAAUGCCGCGUGAGUGAAGAAGGCCUUCGGGUUGUAAAGCUCUUUUGUCAGGGAAGAAACGGUUGGGGCUAAUAUCCUCGGCUAAUGACGGUACCUGAAGAAUAAGCACCGGCUAACUACGUGCCAGCAGCCGCGGUAAUACGUAGGGUGCAAGCGUUAAUCGGAAUUACUGGGCGUAAAGCGUGCGCAGGCGGUUUUGUAAGUCUGUCGUGAAAGCCCCGGGCUUAACCUGGGAAUUGCGAUGGAGACUGCAAGGCUUGAAUCUGGCAGAGGGGGGUAGAAUUCCACGUGUAGCAGUGAAAUGCGUAGAGAUGUGGAGGAACACCGAUGGCGAAGGCAGCCCCCUGGGUCAAGAUUGACGCUCAUGCACGAAAGCGUGGGGAGCAAACAGGAUUAGAUACCCUGGUAGUCCACGCCCUAAACGAUGUCUACUAGUUGUCGGGUCUUAAUUGACUUGGUAACGCAGCUAACGCGUGAAGUAGACCGCCUGGGGAUACGGUCGCAAGNUUAAAACUUAAGGAAUUGACGG
rnacentral:rRNA from 1 species